rnacentral:lncRNA from 1 species
GGUGACCUCAUACAACAGUCCUGAAAGAAUCUUCUCCUUAUUUCUACCAUGUGAAUUUACAACUAGAAGAUAUUGUCUGUGACCCCAAAAGCAAAAGGAACUCACCAGAACCUGACUCUGUUGGCAUCCUGAUAUUGGACUGCAAGUCUCCAAAAGUGCAUAAUGGAUCUUCUGGAGUACCCUCUUAUGGACAUGGAAGCCAUUUUGGACAUCUCAGAAUAUAAAAUGUAGACAGCUGUUUUAGUUCCAUUACUAAAUCAAGAGGACAUAUUCUCUGGUUGUACGAAAAACUUAGAUUACUACUUACACAUGUAAUGACCCUUCAGUAUCUCUGCUUAAAUAUUUUCUUUGCCUAAGUUGUCUCCUCCUGUUUUUGGCUAAAAUUCUACUCCUCCUUCGUAACACCUUAAAGGUGUCUCUUCCUAUGAUUCACAGAUGUGGAAUCACGUGUCUUUUUUAUUAUAUUAUCCACAUCUGAUUUUAUAAUAGUUGUUUUCAAUGUGUCUAUUUCCUUCAUUAAUUUGUUUGUUUAAUGUUAUUAGAUAAAAUUAAUAUGAUAUUCUAGGGACACCUGGGUGACUCAGUCUGUUAAGUGCCUUCCUUAGGCUCAAGACAGCAUCUCAGAGUCCAGUGAUCAAGCCCUGCAUUGGGCUCCCCCCACCCUCUGCAGGGAGUCUGCUUCUCCCUUUGUACCUCCCCCUGCUCGUAUUCUCUCACUCUCCCUCUCACAAAUAAAUAAAUAAAAUAUUUUUAAAAAGUG